rnacentral:rRNA from 1 species
AGAGUUUGAUCCUGGCUCAGAUUGAACGCUGGCGGCGUGCUUAACACAUGCAAGUCGAGCGGUAAGGCUCCUUCGGGAGUACACGAGCGGCGAACGGGUGAGUAACACGUGAGCAAUCUGCCCUUCACUUUGGGAUAACUUCCGGAAACGGAAGCUAAUACCGAAUACGACCACUUCAGGCAUCUGAUGGUGGUGGAAAGUUCCGGCGGUGAAGGAUGAGCUCGCGGCCUAUCAGCUUGUUGGUGAGGUAAUGGCUCACCAAGGCUUCGACGGGUAGCCGGCCUGAGAGGGUGACCGGCCACACUGGGACUGAGACACGGCCCAGACUCCUACGGGAGGCAGCAGUGGGGAAUAUUGGACAAUGGGCGAAAGCCUGAUCCAGCAACGCCGCGUGAGGGAUGACUGCCUUCGGGUUGUAAACCUCUUUCAGCGGGGACG